UUAACAGAAGCUAUCGAGCAUUCCAUUGUUACUGGAAAGAAAGGAUUAUAUCCCUGCUAAA
rnacentral:tRNA from 1 species